rnacentral:rRNA from 1 species
CCUACGGGGGGCUGCAGUAGGGAAUAUUGGACAAUGGGCGCAAGCCUGAUCCAGCCAUGCCGCGUGAGUGAAGAAGGCCUUCGGGUUGUAAAGCUCUUUUGUCCGGAAAGAAAAGCAUCCAGUUAAUACCUGGGUGUCCUGACGGUACCGGAAGAAUAAGCACCGGCUAACUUCGUGCCAGCAGCCGCGGUAAUACGAAGGGUGCAAGCGUUACUCGGAAUUACUGGGCGUAAAGCGUGCGUAGGUGGUUUGUUAAGUCUGAUGUGAAAGCCCUG